GAGAGAGUGAAUGGAGAAAGAGUUGGUAUGGAAAAACACGCGGCGAAAUAAAUAGAAACAUACGUUAUUGAACACAUCUUAAUAAUAUUAAAUAUCACAUUAUCCCCUCGAUUACCACAUUGGCGACGAGGUAAAUCGGAAGAGGCUAUUUUUCUCAGCCUGCCGGUGAGCAGAAACCAAAAAUCGUCGCUGGAAGCGAUAGGCUACAUGGUAGCGACUGCUUAGAAAGCAGUGGUUCAAACAUUGUCGCUGGAAGCGAUAGGCUACAGGGUAGCGACUGCAAAAUAGCAGUGGUUCAAAUAUAUUCGCUGGAAGCGGAAAAAAAAGAGAGGCUGUUUACUUCACCAGAGUUGGUGGACUGCUUUCGUAACAAAGUUACGUCUGGUAGCUGUAAGCAGAAAAUUCCUUGGAUCAACCAGUUUCACAAUGGAAAAAUGGGAAAUUCAACCAUUCAAAUUUAGGUCAUUUCCCCGCAAUAUCGUCCGUAAUGAAUGGAUUAAAUACAAGCGCAAUUUCGACUAUAUAACGGGUGAUUUUUUAAGAGCUUGAGAACUUUUUUAAACAAUAAAACGCAUAAAAUUUGCAAAA